AGUGGCGGACGGGUGAGUAACGCGUGGGUAACCUGCCUCACACAGGGGGAUAACAGUUGGAAACGACCGCUAAUACCGCAUAACCCGCUGGUAUCGCAUGAUACUGACGGAAAAGAUUUAUCGGUGUGAGAUGGACCCGCGUCUGAUUAGCCAGUUGGCAGGGUAACGGCCUACCAAAGCGACGAUCAGUAGCCGGCCUGAGAGGGUGAACGGCCACAUUGGGACUGAGACACGGCCCAAACUCCUACGGGAGGCAGCAG
rnacentral:rRNA from 1 species